rnacentral:lncRNA from 1 species
UGGUUUCAAACACUAGAUGAGGGAGAAAGAGCUGCCAUACCCAUAAUUAGCAAGUCUCCGUUUAAAACAAUAUUUUUUCAAAAAAUCUCCGACUUUUUUUUAAAUCCGUUUAGAACUCCGAGUUUUUCAAAAGACCUUCAAAAAAUCGUGGUUUUUUUAUAGGACCGAUGUAAAACCGUAUUUUAUCUUUUUUAAAAAAAACUUCUUCCCUAUAACUUUAUUUUUCAUUAAUUUAAUAUUAUUGACUUUUUAUUUAAAGAUAAGCAAAUUAAUAGUAGGAGCAAAUUAAGAAUCUUGAUUUAAAGUAAAAUCCCAUAGAAUGUUUCACCAAUAAUUUCCCUUAAAAAAAGUUUAUAAAAAAUUACAAAGAAUAUGUUCCCCAAAAAAUAAGAUAUCAGGGCAAUCAUAUAUCUCAAAAUAAUAGGCAGAGUUAGAAGACUAACCCAAUGAAAAAUCCUUUCUUUUUUUUUUUCUCUUUAAACCCAAUGGAUACUUAUAAUGAGCAUUUUUUUAUGAGAUUCGAAAUUGCUGAAAUAUUUUUUAUUGUAAAGAUUUAAGCAGCUAGG